GCGGAGAAACUCGGACAACAGAUGAGUCCCAACCUUUGAGCUGUGGCCUCGGUUUGUCAGUAUUGUGGGGAAACCGUAAUUACCGAAGAAGCCUGGGUGCUAAAACAAGCUUUGAAGCUGCUUUAUUGUCGAACAGGAAUGAGGCUGGAUGCUGAACACACCUGUGGCAUGAAGGUGUUACCACUUCGUCCACGACAUUGUCCACGAUCGCUGAGACAUGGUCCAUGAUCGGAGAGACAUUGUUGAGGAUGAGGGAGACAUCGUCCACGAUCAGAGACGUUGUCCAUGAUCGCAGAGACCUUGUCAAAGACGAGAGAGGCGUUGUCCAUGGUCAGAGACAUUGUCCCAUGCUUCGUAGAGACCUUGCGAUAGAAUCGGCGGAGACGGGGGUCACCGAUUCGAAGGCAUUGCCCGCGAUCAGGGACAUUGUCGAUGAUCACAGAGACACCGUCUAUGAUCUCAGAGACAUCGUCCACGAUCACAGACACAGUCCAUGAUCGCAGAGACUUUGUCCAUAAUCUCAGAGACAUUGUCCGCGAUCACAGAGACGUAGUCCACGAUCACAGAGUCUUCGUACAACGGGGAAGCUCUUAAAGACCAGGACAGAGGACUCCAGGUGUUACCACUUCGUCCACGACAUUGUCCACGAUCGCUGAGACAUGGUCCAUGAUCGGAGAGACAUUGUUGAGGAUGAGGGAGACAUCGUCCACGAUCAGAGACGUUGUCCAUGAUCGCAGAGACCUUGUCAAAGACGAGAGAGGCGUUGUCCAUGGUCAGAGACAUUGUCCCAUGCUUCGUAGAGACCUUGCGAUAGAAUCGGCGGAGACGGGGGUCACCGAUUCGAAGGCAUUGCCCGCGAUCAGGGACAUUGUCGAUGAUCACAGAGACACUGUCUAUGAUCUCAGAGACAUCGUCCACGAUCACAGACACAGUCCAUGAUCGCAGAGACUUUGUCCAUAAUCUCAGAGACAUUGUCCGCGAUCACAGAGACGUAGUCCACGAUCACAGAGUCUUCGUACAACGGGGAAGCUCUUAAAGACCAGGACAGAGGACUCCAGGUGUUACCACUUCGUCCACGACAUUGUCCACGAUCGCUGAGACAUGGUCCAUGAUCGGAGAGACAUUGUUGAGGAUGAGGGAGACAUCGUCCACGAUCAGAGACGUUGUCCAUGAUCGCAGAGACCUUGUCAAAGACGAGAGAGGCGUUGUCCAUGGUCAGAGACAUUGUCCCAUGCUUCGUAGAGACCUUGCGAUAGAAUCGGCGGAGACGGGGGUCACCGAUUCGAAGGCAUUGCCCGCGAUCAGGGACAUUGUUGAUGAUCACAGAGACACCGUCUAUGAUCUCAGAGACAUCGUCCACGAUCACAGACACAGUCCAUGAUCGCAGAGACUUUGUCCAUAAUCUCAGAGACAUUGUCCGCGAUCACAGAGACGUAGUCCACGAUCACAGAGUCUUCGUACAACGGGGAAGCUCUUAAAGACCAGGACAGAGGACUCCAGGUGUCACCACUUCGUCCACGACAUCAUCCAUGAUCGCUGAGACAUGGUCCAUGAUUGGAGAGACAUUGUUGAGGAUGAGGGAGACAUCGUCCACGAUCAGAGACGUUGUCCAUGAUCGCAGAGACCUUGUCAAAGACGAGAGAGGCGUUGUCCAUGAUCAGAGACAUUGUCCCUUGCUUCGUAGAGACCUUGCGAUAGAAUCGGCGGAGACGGGGGUCACCGAUUCGAAGGCAUUGCCCGCGAUCAGGGACAUUGUCGAUGAUCACAGAGACACCGUCUAUGAUCUCAGAGACAUCGUCCACGAUCACAGACACAGUCCAUGAUCGCAGAGACUUUGUCCAUAAUCUCAGAGACAUUGUCCGCGAUCACAGAGACGUAGUCCACGAUCACAGAGUCUUCGUACAACGGGGAAGCUCUUAAAGACCAGGACAGAGGACUCCAGGUGUUACCACUUCGUCCACGACAUUGUCCACGAUCGCUGAGACAUGGUCCAUGAUCGGAGAGACAUUGUUGAGGAUGAGGGAGACAUCGUCCACAAUCAGAGACGUUGUCCAUGAUCGCAGAGACCUUGUCAAAG